rnacentral:lncRNA from 1 species
UCAAAGCAUGCAAAGAGUACUUGACCCUCUGGAGAGGGAUCUUCAAGAUCUUGUUAGAGAUUUUUGACCAUUCCUCGAGUAAUGGGACCUUGAUGUAUCUUGGUGUGUGGCUCCCGCGUAUCACAACAAUGCAUCACAUAUCACUUAAAGACAUAAACAUAGAAGUACCCUGCGUGGCGCUUAGGCUCCCAGAAGUUGGCGCUCAACGCCCUAGCUUCUAUUUGCCUGAUGCUCAAUGCCAGAAGUUGGCGCUCAAUGCCCACGAGACAAUGAGUUAGCGCCCAAGAGUUGGAGGGCUGGCACUCGACGCCAUGACAGUAGCACCCCAACUUCUAAAGACCCUUGGACCCUCUAGACCUUGAGAAAACUCAGAAAACACUAUUGUAAUUCAUAUUGACCCUUAAAAAC